AUUGAACGCUGGCGGCAUGCUUUACACAUGCAAGUCGAACGGCAUCACGGGCUUCGGCCUGGUGGCGAGUGGCGAACGGGUGAGUCAUGCAUCGGAACGUACCGUGUAGUGGGGGAUAACGUAGCGAAAGUUACGCUAAUACCGCAUACGCCCCGAGGGGGAAAGUGGGGGACCGCAAGGCCUCACGCUAUAUGAGCGGCCGAUGUCGGAUUAGCUAGUUGGUAGGGUAAAGGCCUACCAAGGCGACGAUCCGUAGCGGGUCUGAGAGGAUGAUCCGCCACACUGGGACUGAGACACAGCCCAGACUCCUACGGGAGGCAGCAGUGGGGAAUUUUGGACAAUGGGCGCAAGCCUGAUCCAGCCAUGCCGCGUGAGUGAAGAAGGCCUUCGGGUUGUAAAGCUCUUUCAGACGGAAAGAAAUCUCCCAGGAUAAUACCUUGGGAGGAUGACGGUACCGUAAGAAGAAGCACCGGCUAACUACGUGCCAGCCGCCGCAGUAAUAC
rnacentral:rRNA from 1 species